rnacentral:lncRNA from 1 species
GAACUUGAGGCUGCGGUGAGUUGUGUUUGUGCCAUUGCACUCCAGCCUGGGCAACAGAACAAGACCCUGUCUCAAAAAAUAAAUAAAUAAAAUAAAAGCGUGACCUCUGGCACGUCACUUCACCUCAGUGAGCCUCAGUUUUCCUCAUCUCUAAAAGGGGAGUGUUGGUGGUGAUAAAACUUAUUCACUGAAGAGUUAUUGUCAACAACAGACCACGUGUAUGACAGUAAUCCCAUAAGAUUAUAGUACUGUAUUUUUGCUGUACCUUUUCUGUGUUCUGAUAUGUUUAGAUUUGUCUUACAAAUGUAUUACAGUUGCCUACCAUACUCAUUACUCUGAUGUUCACACAAAGCCAAAAUC